rnacentral:rRNA from 1 species
UACGUAGGUGGCAAGCGUUGUCCGGAAUUAUUGGGCGUAAAGCGCGCGCAGGCGGUCCUUUAAGUCUGAUGUGAAAGCCCACGGCUCAACCGUGGAGGGUCAUUGGAAACUGGGGGACUUGAGUACAGAAGAGGAAAGCGGAAUUCCACGUGUAGUGGUGAAAUACGUAGAGAUUGGGAAGAACACCAGUGGCGAAGGCGGCUAUCUGGACGGUUUCUGACGCUAAGACGCGAAAGCGUGGGGAGCAAACAGG